GGAUGUGAGGGUGAUCUGGCUGUGACAUCUGUCACCCCAUUGACCACCAGGAUUCAUUCAGCUGGUCUGGCUGGCUAGGCAGGUGUCCUCUUCCUUCCUCAACAUUCCACGUGUGUCCCUCCUGCAGCUGCGCACUCAGUCAAAGAGGACAAACACCUCCAAUAGAGGAGGACUGUUCCUCGGUCAAGGGUAUCGAGUAGCUGCACUCCCCUGCUAGAACCUCCAAACAAGCUCUCAAAACCUCCAAACAAGCUUUCAGAUCUAAGCAUAUCAUUUCUCUUUAUAAACUUAUAACCUGAAGUCUACAGUCUCUUUCUAG
rnacentral:snRNA from 1 species